GUAUUCCUGUUUCUAAGCCAGACCUGAUCACCUGUCUGGAGCAAGGAAAAAAACCUUGGACUAUGAAGAGACAUGAGAUGGUAGCCAAACCCCCAGUGAGCUUCCUUCAAGUUCACAGUGAGAGCCAAAGUCCUCUUCAUGGCAUAAAGAGACUGUACAAUGUGGCUGCUUUUCCUUAAUUUUUGGGACACACAAAUAUCUGCAUGAUUUUGAGAAACUAAAAUUACUCAAAGUUCUCUUUUUGCAUCAGGUCUGAAAUGUCUGAGAGUAAUAGUUUCUGUUGAAUUUUGUUUGUUCAUUUUUCUGCACAGUCCAUUCCGUUUUUAUUACUAUCUAGUCUUGAAAUACAUAGUU